AAGAAGAACUUUGGAGGACGUUGGAAAAUUGUUUCCUGGGACAGCAGGCAACACAGACAAAGACAGCGCGGAAAGUAGAGGUUCCAGUAUAAAAAAAGCUUACAAAAACGCAACGGCUCUAUCUAUCCAUCUGGCACAAUUCCUUAUGCGUUCUGUUUCAGAAUUUGAAAAAAUCGCAAAAACAGAGUCCAAAAAUCUCACACACAGAACAUAUCCAAACACCCAAGAUAAAAAUGAAAGUGGGAAAAGAGAAGCAAGCCCAAUUACGUCCUUCCAACUGCAACUGCUUUACCAAAUAUUAAACCCUUCAAAUCUUUCUCAUCAAAAAUUCUUUUGUACGUUCCGCUUUCCCCCGCCGUUUUACUUGUUUUCAGUUGCCGUUUUGAUUAGGGUGGCGGAAAUGAGCGCUGAGGGUGAGGCUGCUCAACGUCAUGAUGCUGCCUUGCCACAAUAACCUUGCUGUAACCAAUGAGCGGUCUCCGCGCGUCGCUAGAAGUCGAUGUCGUCGUUUGCGUCAGAGCCGUACGGUAACCGCAGUGGUUGCGGUUGCCGCGUUGCUUAUUUCCACCACCGCCUGGCUCUCUCUUGUUUUCUCCGGCACCACCACACGUUGCUGGCGUCGUUUCAAGGACUGGGAAGGCAGUCCCCUUUCCCUCUCCCGGUCUCUCCCCUGGUCUUCUUCUCUCAUUAGCCGAUCAAUCCCGGCACCUCCUCGGUUCCAAUCGCCACUAGCCUCUCCUCGAAACCGCAGCCUCUCGGAGCGUGCGAAUGAGAAACAAGAGCUUUUACUAAACGACAUCGUGUUUGGAAUAGCAGGGUCCUUGCAUCUAUGGAAACAACGGAAAGAGUUACUUAGGCUUUGGUGGCGGCCGUUGGAAAUGCGAGGUCACGUCUGGUUAGAAGAGCAGGUCCCACCUGAAGAAGCCGACGAUUCGCUUCCACCACUCAUGGUCUCUGAAGACAUCUCACGUUUCCGUUACACUAACCCAACAGGCCACCCUUCGGGUCUACGAAUCUCCCGAAUUUUAACGGAAUCCUUCCGCCUCCGUCUCCCCGACGUCCGCUGGUUCGUUUUAGGAGACGACGACACGGUUUUCAACGUAGACAAUCUGGUGGCAGUUUUAAGCAAAUACGAUCCUUCCGAGAUGAUGUACAUCGGAACUCCUUCGGAAAGCCACUCUGCCAACGCGUAUUUCAGUCACUCCAUGGCGUUUGGCGGUGGCGGCAUUGCCAUCAGUUAUCCUCUGGCGGAGGCUCUCUCCAACUUCCACGACGAUUGCAUCGAGAGGUACCCGAAGCUAUAUGGAAGCGAUGAUCGUCUACACGCCUGCAUUACUGAACUCGGAGUUCCUCUCACCAGAGAGCAUGGUUUUCACCAGUGGGAUAUUAGGGGAAAUGCGUAUGGUCUUUUAUCCUCUCAUCCUAUUGCACCACUCGUUUCAAUCCACCAUGUUGAAUAUGUGGAUCCAUUUUAUCCUGGGUUAACUUCAUUAGACAGUUUAAAACUUUUUGCAAAAGCUAUGAGAAUUGAACCCAGGAGCUUUCUACAACGAUCAAUCUGUUAUGAUCGUGUUCGGCGUCUAACUUUUUCAGUUUCAAUCGGUUAUGUUGUUCAAGUGUUCCCAAAUAUUGUGCUGCCUCGUGAGCUAGAACGUUCGGAGCAAACCUACAUUGCCUGGAAUAAAUUAAGACAUCGCCAUGAAUUUGAUCACGACACCAGGGAUUCUUACAAAUCUGUUUGUAAAAAACCUGUUAUGUUUUUCCUCAAAGAUGUGAUGAAAGAUGGUAAUGCUACAUCAGGGUCAUAUGCUCGGGCAAAAUCCAAAGAUGAUUUGAAAAGAAAGGUUUUCUGCUUUCCAAGUUCCCCUCCGUUGCAAUACGUGCAGAAAAUCCAAGUUUUAGGGUAUCCUCUUGGAAAGAAUUGGCAUCUGGUGCCUCGUCGGUUAUGUUGCAAGGUAAACAAUACCGGUGAUGAACUCCUUAGAUUAACUGUUGGGCAAUGUGAAAAGGGAGCUCUCAGUUCUUUUACUGAUUCUCUGUGAAUGAUGGAGGGAUGCUGCUGAGUAUAUAUAUAGGCUUCAAGAUGGACCUCAAACUAUGUUGUGCUUUAUGCUCUUUAGCCACACGGAAAUUUUUUGGGUCUGCCUUGAGAUUGACAUUGGACAUUUUUCUCAUAAUCUUACUUCCCUAUAUCAGAUAUUGGAGUGCUUUGUUGUACUCAGUUGAUAGAGUUAAAGAUUAGACCAACUUCAGCUCAGUCAUUCCAUUCUUUGCCUUCAGUUUUGUUCAGAAGUGGCAUGUUGGCCGUUGAAUUUAUUUUGGAAGGAGGAGAGGGGUUGGGGGGGUGGUACGGGUGCUGAUGCAUGUGAACGAGGAUGGUUAACAGUAUAUUACGGGAAAGGAUGACUUGGACUCACAGGAAUCUGCUGCUUGUCUUUCAGUCUUUGUCAAUGCAUAUAGAAAGGGGCAGAAAUAUUGGAGAUGAUAAAAUUUUAGUUAUUAUAAGAAAGACAAAUAUAGAUCUGAUAUCUCAAUCCUUCUCAUUCUGCUGACAGAGCUUUUAAUGUCAUUUCUCAAAUCGUAGAUCUAACCAACACUUGAAAUAUUCUUUUCUUAUUUUACUUAAUGCGACAGGGACGCAGCCAUGUAAGAUAAUCCUUUGCUUCAUUAAUACGGUAUUGGUAAUUUUCAACAUCAUAAUUUAUGAACUUUGGGGGUACUGCAGUUGCAACUACUAUUUGCAAAGAUUAAAUCCCCUUCAUAAUGCUCAAUUUUCCCUCUACUUGUUUCUACUUUUUAGCUGUCCUUAUCUUCUUCCUGAUAUUGCUUCCCCUGAUUUAUUGUGGAGUAUUAGAUCCUGCAGAGAGCAUUAGAUCCCCAUUCCACUUUCUAAUAAGCCCGUAAAUGUUGACACGAUUUCCUUGCCAAGGCCGGCAAUUCUUUUGACGUUUUCCAAAGUUAGGGCGAAAUGGAAGUCAAUUCGAAUUUGACCAAGGAAUGGGUAAUCCACGCCUCCUAAAGACGAGUCGAAUCUUAAAGCAAAAACCAAUGACUGCUAAAGACGAGAGAGUCUUCAACCCGCUUUUUAAGAACUGUCCAUUUAUUUUUUUUAAAAAAUAUAAUUGAUUGAGGUAAAGACGUUUUUCAGCUGUUAUCCCAUUUAUGCCUUCUGUUUUAUUCGCACCUUCCAAUUUGACAACAAAUCUAUCA